rnacentral:rRNA from 1 species
UACGGAGGGUGCAAACGUUGCUCGGAAUCAUUGGGCGUAAAGCGCACGUAGGCGGCUCGUUAAGUCGGGUGUGAAAGCCCUGGGCCGUCAACCCAGGAAGUGCAUUCGAAACUGGCGAGCUUGAAUAUGGAAGAGGGUCGCGGAAUUCCCGGUGUAGAGGUGAAAUUCGUAGAUAUCGGGAGGAACACCAGUGGCGAAGGGCGGCGCUCUGGGCCGGAACGUCGACGCUGAGGAGCGAAAGCGAUGG